rnacentral:lncRNA from 1 species
GGCGAGGAAGCAUGCACAGGGAAGAAUUAAAGACUGUAAUCCAACGCCAAACAAGAUGUCAUCAUACAAACAUCAAAAGUUCAAAUGUACGAGAUUUGUGCGGCUAUGCAUCAGAGCGGGUAUCACAAGCCCUAUGCAUCAACGAUUGAUAUAUAUCCACGCAUGACUUUUUCACGAAUUCUACUAUUCAACUUUCGUUCUUCCACUCAUGCUAACAAAUAGAAGAAUACAUCAGACUGUUCACACAGGAAGAUUCUCCAAUCAGCUCAUUUUCUAGUCACGAACUUUCCUAGCAGUCAUCUAUAUCUACGGGAUUGCAGGUUAUAAAUUACUCACCACAGUCAUACUAAGGAAGGAACCUAUGAAGGCCAUCACAUAGCCUGAAACCCAGUAUUAUCAAAGCCAAGGUUAAAAAAAUCAUCAGAAUCUUUCUUAGGAUAGGUUGCGCAUGUCUUCUGUGCAGUAAGUCAUGAAAAAUGCAGCAAAGCUACAAUACUUGUGUCGAGAAG